rnacentral:sRNA from 1 species
GCCAGGUGUGGUGGCGCACGCCGGUCAUCCCAGCGGCUUGGGAGGCUGAGGCAGGAGGAUUUCAAGUUCAAAGCCAGCCUCAG